CGAAAGACUAAUCGAACCAUCUAGUAGCUGGUUCCCUCCGAAGUUUCCCUCAGGAUAGCUGGAACUCGUAAAGUUUUAUCAGGUAAAGCGAAUGAUUAGAGGAAUUGGGAAAGAAACUUUCUCGACCUAUUCUCAAACUUUAAAUAGGUAAGAAGCCAUGGUCACUUAAUUGGACCAGAGCAACGAAUUGGAGUUCCAAGUGGGCCAUUUUUGGUAAGCAGAACUGGCGAUGCGGGAUGAACCGAACGUCGUGUUAAAGUGCCAAAGUGUGCGCUCAUGUAGAUCCCAUAAACGGUGUUGAUUCAUUUAGACAGCAGGACGGUGGCCAUGGAAGUCGGAAUCCGCUA
rnacentral:rRNA from 1 species